UACGUAUGGGGCGAGCGUUGUCCGGAAUCAUUGGGCGUAAAGGGUACGCAGGCGGAUAAGAAAGUUAGAAGUGAAAUCCUAUAGCUCAACUAUAGUACGCUUUUAAAACUGCUAAUCUUGAGGUAUGGAAGGGAAAGUGGAAUUCCUAGUGUAGCGGUGAAAUGCGUAGAUAUUAGGAGGAAUACCGGUGGCGAAGGCGACUCUCUGGCCAUAAACUGACGCUGAGGUACGAAAGCGUGGGGAGCAAACAGG
rnacentral:rRNA from 1 species